CUAUAUGUUACUUUUGAAUAACAGCUAGAUUUGUUUUAAUGCAGACUCCAAACUGCCUGUUUCAAGAUGAUUAUAACACCGAUGACGCAAUAAAGUCUCCAUUUACAACAAAGGUAAUUACUCUGGUGCUGAUGGUCACAAUGUAAAGGACACAAUCUGGCAACUAUUGAAGCAAACAUAAACCUGCAGAGGUGAAUGGAUAUGGGAGCUAAAGAGCCUUGCUAUGAGGAAAAACUCUACCAUGCACACAGAGAACAGAGCUCAAUGCUGCUAACUGGGUGAGCAGCUGGACAACUAGAAGAGAGAACAGUAGAACACCUAUUAAUACAGAUGACUGGAUUACUCUUCUGCAAGAACCAAGACAAGCAAAGACUGAUGAUGAGCGCUCUGAGCAAACACAGCAGUCAAGACGCAUGAGUGACUUUACUGAGUUAUUCAUGUAAUGUUGGACAUUUACAGUACACAGAACUUCUAAUAAUUUAUGUGGAUGCCAUUUAUAAACCUGUUAGAUUGUGAUGUUUUAGUUUUGAGA